AUGGACCUGCGCGUCGCUGCCCCCGCCUCCGUGGCCGCCGCCGCGCGCCGGGGCGUGCUCGGAUGCGCGCGCGUCCGGCCGCUCCAAGGCCGCCGCCAGUGCCGCCCCUCCGUGCGCGUGUCCGUCGCGACCACGGAGUCGGCCGCCGCAGCCGCCGUAGCCGCCUCGGCGGCCGAGGACGACGAAACGACGAACCCGAGGACGGUGGUGGCGGUCAUCCUCGGCGGCGGCGCCGGGACGAGGCUCUUCCCUCUCACCAAGCGCAGGGCCAAGCCCGCCGUGCCGAUAGGCGGCGCGUACAGGCUCAUCGACGUGCCCAUGAGCAACUGCAUCAACAGCGGGAUCAACAAGGUGUACGUCCUCACCCAGUUCAACUCCGCCUCCCUCAACCGCCACCUCUCCAGGGCCUACAACUUCAGCAAUGGCGUCGGCUUCGGAGACGGCUUCGUCGAGGUUCUAGCAGCAACUCAGAGGCCUGGAUCGGAGGGAAAGACGUGGUUUCAGGGUACCGCCGACGCGGUUCGGCAAUUCGCUUGGCUUUUCGAUGAUGCCAAAUCUAAAGACAUAGAGGAUGUGCUGAUUCUUUCUGGCGAUCACCUCUACCGUAUGGACUACAUGGACUUUGUUCAGAGUCAUCGGCAGAGAGACGCGGGCAUCAGCAUCUGUUGCUUGCCUAUUGAUGGCAGCCGGGCGUCUGAUUUUGGUCUAAUGAAGAUAGACGACACAGGAAGAGUUAUUUCAUUUAGUGAAAAACCGAGAGGAGCUGAUUUGAAAGCAAUGCAAGUUGACACCACUCUCCUCGGCUUACUGAAGGAGGAAGCAGAAAAGAAACCAUACAUAGCUUCAAUGGGGGUAUACAUAUUCAAGAAAGAGAUACUUCUAAAUCUUUUGAGAUGGCGUUUUCCCACUGCAAAUGAUUUUGGCUCUGAAAUAAUUCCUGCUGCAGCAAGAGAGAUUAAUGUAAAGGCAUAUCUUUUCAAUGAUUACUGGGAAGAUAUUGGAACUAUUAAAUCCUUCUUCGAAGCAAAUCUUGCCCUUGCUGAACAGCCUUCAAAGUUCAGCUUCUAUGAUGCUAGCAAACCGAUGUACACAUCACGGAGAAACCUACCACCAUCUAUGAUCAGCGGUAGUAAGAUCACUGAUUCAAUCAUUUCCCAUGGAUGUUUCUUGGAUAAAUGCAGGGUAGAGCACAGUGUCGUUGGAAUCCGUUCUCGAAUAGGCUCCAACGUACACCUCAAGGAUACGGUAAUGCUCGGUGCUGAUUUCUAUGAAACUGACAUGGAAAGAGGCGACCAGCUGGCCGAAGGAAAGGUUCCGAUUGGGAUCGGGGAGAACACUUCAAUUCAAAACUGCAUCAUUGACAAGAAUGCGAGGAUAGGGAAGAAUGUGACCAUUGCUAACGCUGAGGGUGUGCAGGAAGCAGACAGGGCGUCAGAAGGCUUCCACAUCCGGUCCGGCAUCACGGUUGUGCUGAAGAACUCGGUGAUCGCGGAUGGAUUAGUCAUAUGA
rnacentral:rRNA from 1 species